GACGAACGCUGGCGGCGUGCUUAACACAUGCAAGUCGAACGAAGUGGCGAACGGGUGAGUAACGCGUAAUCCACCUGCCCUUCAGAGGGGGACAACAGUUGGAAACGACUGCUAAUACCGCAUACUGAAGGAGGGGAUUGCGUCUGAUUAGCUAGUUGGAGGGGUAACGGCCCACCAAGGCGAUGAUCAGUAGCCGGGCGGAGAGGAUGAACGGCCACAGUGUGACGUCGACACGGCCCAGACUCCUACGGGAGGCAGCAGUGGCGAAUCUUCCGCAAUGGACGAAAGUCUGACAGAGCAACGCCGCGUGAGUGAAGAAGGUUUUCGGAUCUUAAAACUCUGUUGUUAGAGAAGCGGUAUCUAACCAGAAAGCCACGGCUAACUACGUGCCAGCAGCCGCGGUAAUUC
rnacentral:rRNA from 1 species